rnacentral:rRNA from 1 species
CAGUUUUGGCGGAGCCAUCCUUGGGAUACCACCCUUGUAGUACUGGGACUCUAACCAUAGGCCAUGAAUCUGGUCUUGGGACACUGUCAGGUGGGCAGUUUGACUGGGGCGGUCGCCUCCCAAAAGGUAACGGAGGCGCUCAAAGGUUCUCUCAGUACGGUCGGAAAUCGUACGUAGAGUGUAAAGGCAAAAGAGAGCUUGAUUGCAAGACAUACAGGUCGAGCAAGGAUGAAAAUCGGACUUAGUGAUCCGGUGGUUCUGCGUGGAAGGGCCAUCGCUCAACGGAUAAAAGCUACCCUGGGGAUAACAGGCUUAUCUCCCCCAAGAGUCCACAUCGACGGGGAGGUUUGGCACCUCGAUGUCGGCUCAUCACAUCCUGGGGCUGUAGUAGGUCCCAAGGGUUGGGCUGUUCGCCCAUUAAAGUGGUACGCGAGCUGGGUUCAGAACGUCGUGAGACAGUUCGGUCCCUAUCCGUCGCAGGCGUAGGAAAUUUGAGAAGACCUGUCCUUAGUACGAGAGGACCGGGAUGGACGUACCUCUGGUGUACCAGUUGUCCUGCCAAGGGCAUGGCUGGGUAGCUAUGUACGGAAUGGAUAAGCGCUGAAAGCAUCUAAGCGCGAAGCCAACUUCAAGAUAAGAUUUCCCACCGCAAGGGUAAGACCCCAGAAAGACUAUCUGGUUGAUAGGUCGAAGGUGUAAGU